UUGAGCUAAGGACUGGCUGUAGCCUAGACAGUCUUCCAGCCUGGACGGAGGCCUCCUGAGCAACUCAGAGUGAAUGUGUUUUCAGAGUUAAGUACCAGCUUGUUCCGGAGGCUUUGUCAAGGCUAUCUUCCAGACCCUUCAACCCCUUCUCUUCCACCCUUUGGACCUUCAGGAUGGAUAGCGAAGGGCUUGUGCAGUUAGAUGUCAUCACCACAGACUCUGCCUGGGAAAUGGGAGGAGGUGAUUUCAUCCCUGUGUGCAGGUCACAGAGUGCCCCCACACAAGUUAAAUUGCUGCAACUUUGACCGGCAGUGCAGUCACACAGGAUCCAUCCCCCUUGUAUCUGAGGGCGUGGAACCUGCUGUGUCCGGCUCAAGGCAGUUUCUCGGGGCCACCCAUUGCCAGAUCCACUGUCUAGGGAUCAAAAAGGACUUCAAGAGGUGCAGAGACUUCCAAGAUCACACAGAGGUGGGACCUGAGUGUACUGAGUCCAAACACAGGUAUCUGCUUCUCUGUCUGUCUUUCCUUCUUGCUGUCUUUGGAGGCAGGCAUUGUGGGUACAGACAGCUUCCAUGGCCAGGGUAUGCUGCCCUUGAGCACAGCCCUGCUGUUC
rnacentral:lncRNA from 1 species